AAUAUUGCGCAAUGGAGGAAACUCUGACGGAGCAACGCCGCGUGAACGAUGAAGGACAUCGGGUCGUAACGUUCUGUUGUUAGGGAAGAACAAGUGCCAUUCGAAUAGGGUGGUACCUUGACGGUACCUAACCAUAAAGCAACGGCUAACUAAGUGCCAGCAGCCGCGGUAAUACGUAGGUGGCAAGCGUUGUCCGGAAUUAUUGGGCGUAAAGCGCGCGCAGGCGGUCUUUUAAGUCUGAUGUGAAAGCCCCCGGCUCAACCGGGGAGGGUCAUUGGAAACUGGGAGGCUUGAGUGCAGAAGAGGAAAGUGGAAUUCCAAGUGUAGCGGUGAAAUGCGUAGAGAUUUGGAGGAACACCAGUGGCGAAGGCGACUUUCUGGUCUGUUACUGACGCUGAGGCGCGAAAGCGUGGGGAGCAAAC
rnacentral:rRNA from 1 species